rnacentral:misc_RNA from 1 species
UCCGGGAAUCAAUACUAACUCAAAAAUGAGAUAAUAAGGUCCAGAUCAACAGAAAAUGAGGCAUCUCGCCCUGAAGAUAAAAGUACAAUAUGCAUUGGGAGAAAUAAUUUACAACCACCUAGAUAUCAUAGCUUUUCUGAUCCAGUGAUUAAAUUAUAAAGUAUGUAACUCAUCACUGUACAAAUCCAUGACGCUUUUUCUUUCCUUUUCUUGAGGGACGGGUGAAAUUGUAUAAGCAAAUUGUUAAGAAUAAAAUUCAGCAUCAAAAUGCUGAAUUUUAACUUCCUGGCCCUAAUAUACUAUAUACAAUUGUAACAAACAUUAUAUGUACAAUAAAUCACUUGUAUGCUUACAUUAUUUACUUCCAAACCUUGAUAGCCCCAUCUCUACUGCUUGAAAUCAAAAGUCUCUGGUUCAACUUGACAGAAGCCAAAGAGAGGAUGGAAUCCCUG